rnacentral:rRNA from 1 species
UACGAAGGGGGCUAGCGUUGUUCGGAUUUACUGGGCGUAAAGCACACGUAGGCGGAUUCUUAAGUCAGGGGUGAAAUCCCGAGGCUCAACCUCGGAACUGCCUUUGAUACUGGGGAUCUCGAGUUCGGGAGAGGUGAGUGGAAUUGCGAGUGUAGAGGUGAAAUUCGUAGAUAUUCGCAAGAACACCAGUGGCGAAGGCGGCUCACUGGCCCGAUACUGACGCUGAGGUGCGAAAGCGUGGGGAGCAAACAGG